CCCCCACAACCCUGAAUAGGAGAAGCAAAUGGAUGGAUGAAAUAAUGUGAACCCCUCCAUGUUCCUCACUAGGAUGAGCAGGUGGAAGUCAGAAGAACGGAUGGAAAUGUGGGUACAGGGUCAGUCCUGUGAUGGAGCUGGCCUUCCUGAUGAGUUCCUUCAUGCGUCUGGCAUCACCUGAACUGAUGGCACGUCCCCAGCAGGCCACAGCGUAGAAAAUCAUGCUGGCCACUAUGGACUGAUAGAACAUGCACAGCAGUCAGACAUA